GUUAAACUCACCGUUUUGCUUGAAUAGAUCUUCAUCGUCUCCAUCUGUGGGACAUUCAGAACAGAGGAAGUGGGAAAAGCCCAGUCAGCAUAAAUAUAAAGUAGCUUGUAUUACAUUUAAAGAUUAGCAGAAGUUAUAUCGCUGUGCUUCAUUUGAGGGUUCACUCAUGGAACAUUAUCGGAUCAUCACGAUGAAGAUGUAUUCCAUACCUGCUACGUCUGCUGAUCCUUCACUCUCCUCUGAGGAAGCUGUAUGGGAAUAGAGAUGGGGAGGAUGGGACCAGAUUAACUCACAGCAACAUCUUACUGUGCAUCACGAAGGUCAUUCGUUACAUCUCUGCACGGUACUGGAGCAUAGCUACUCUCCUAUGAACUACUGCUGUGGGUAAAUAUAGAAUGAUUGAGGUGCCAUCCACGCCACUCAUGAACUCUAUACCUCUGUGGCUAGGGCAUUUAGCUCAUGGUAAAUGUAUCCAUCUUAAUAUGACCAGUUUCAGAGUUUUGUGGGAAUAACUAACUAUACCUUCAGAUAGAUGGUAAAACACUACUGUAGCAUACACAGGUUCAUAUCUUCUUUAUGUUGAACUGGGGUUGAUGUAAUAUGUAUGUAUUCUUUCUUCAAAAUAUACUUAAGUAUCAGCCUAGGUUCUUCUGAGGAGUUUUACACUUAAUAUUCUGCUAUCUCUGGAAGCUAUAGGACUCAGAGAGAGACAUUGUAUAUUUCUCGUGUGGAACACAUACAGGGCAUAAAAACAAAUUAAAGCUGAUCUGUGUGAUUAGAUCUU